UACGUAGGGACCAAGCGUUGUCCGGAAUCAUUGGGCGUAAAGAGCGUGUAGGCGGCUUGUUAAGUCUUGCGUGAAAUCUCGGGGCUCAACCCCGAGCGGUCGUGAGAAACUGGCAGGCUAGAGUGCGGGAGAGGAGAGUGGAAUUCCUGGUGUAGCGGUGAAAUGCGCAGAUAUCAGGAGGAACACCGGUGGCGAAGGCGGCUUCCUGGACCGACACUGACGCUGAGGCGCGAAAGCUAGGGGAGCAAACGGG
rnacentral:rRNA from 1 species